rnacentral:pre_miRNA from 1 species
CCACCCAGUCCGCUCGGUCUGAACCAUUCCCGAAAGUGUGUUCACCGGGAGUAUUGCGUGAUC